GACGAACGCUGGCGGCGUGCUUAACACAUGCAGGUCGAGCGAGGCCCACCUUUCGGGGUGGUGCCCUAGCGGCGAACGGGUGAGUAACACGUGGGCAACCUGCCCUCAGCUCUGGGAUAACUCCAAGAAAUUGGGGCUAAUACCGGAUAUGACUGCUGACCGCAUGGUCUGGUGGUGGAAAGAUUUAUCGGCUGGGGGAUGGGCCCGCGGCCUAUCAGCUUGUUGGUGGGGUAGGGCCUACCAAGGCGACGACGGGUAGCCGGCCUGAGAGGGUGGCCGGCCACACUGGGACUGAGACACGGCCCAGACUCCUACGGGAGGCAGCAGUGGGGAAUAUUGCGCAAUGGGCGGAAGCCUGACGCAG
rnacentral:rRNA from 1 species